rnacentral:rRNA from 1 species
GACGAACGCUGGCGGCGUGCUUAACACAUGCAAGUCGAACGCUGAAGCUCAGCUUUUGUUGGGUGGAUGAGUGGCGAACGGGUGAGUAACACGUGAGUAACCUGCCCCCUUCUUUGGGAUAACGCCCGGAAACGGGUGCUAAUACUGGAUAUUCACUGGUCUUCGCAUGGGGGUUGGUGGAAAGGGUUUUUCUGGUGGGGGAUGGGCUCGCGGCCUAUCAGCUUGUUGGUGGGGUGAUGGCCUACCAAGGCUUUGACGGGUAGCCGGCCUGAGAGGGUGACCGGUCACAUUGGGACUGAGAUACGGCCCAGACUCCUACGGGAGGCAGCAGUGGGGAAUAUUGCACAAUGGGUGCAAGCCUGAUGCAGCGACGCCGCGUGAGGGAUGGAGGCCUUCGGGUUGUGAACCUCUUUCGCUCAUGGUCAAGCCGCAACAAUGGUUGUGGUGAGGGUAGUGGGUAAAGAAGCGCCGGCUAACUACGUG